rnacentral:rRNA from 1 species
UACGUAGGGGGCGAGCGUUGUCCGAAGUUACUGGGCGUAAAGCGCGCGUAGGCGGUCCUUUAAGUCUGAGGUGAAAAGGUUCAGCGCUCAACGUGAACAGUGCCUUGGAGACUGGGGGGACUUGAGUGUGGGAGAGGGCAGUGGAAUUCCUGGUGUAGCGGUGAAAUGCGUAGAUAUCAGGAGGAACACCCGAUGGCGAAGGCAGCUGCC